UAUCUGUCAUCAAAACCACAAGGGACCUGGACCACUUCACAUUUGGUUGUUGAAUGAAGCUGUUCUUCGGUUACUAGAACUGCUGCACGACAGCUGAUCAGCUGUACAAUCAACUGAUAGAACCAGGAACAAUCACACGAUAGCAUAAAAUUCAUGAUUUCUUCACAGAGUUCAUCAAUACUUGGAAAGGCACGAGGGCCCUUGCUGGCCUGUUAAGGAACUCAGCUCAGUGAAGUAACCUGUGGGGAAGAUACGGCCAGGGCAAAAGCUAAGGACACUGAUUACUAAUCAAGUGUGUAUGUUUCCAACAAAGAGAAAGAUACCUUUGACAGUUCUUCAAUCAAAGGCUUUCCAUGAAAUGGUAUAUUUCAAGCCAGCAACCAAAGGGAUGCCAAGUGGAAAACCCAAACAAAUUCAACAGAUUGACAUCUCUCCAGCCAUUUCCAUUAGGCUGCUUUUUAACAAGUUCAUUUACACAAGAGCAGAGACCAGAGCACACCCAGCCCCAGAACCAUGGAGCUGCCCUGCAGAAUGGGGUUAGGGUGGGGGAGGCCUGCCUCUCCCAAGGUGUCAAGGUUGAGCAGACAGGCCUGGUCCUUUCUUGGUAUGGAGGCUUUCGUUCAAAAGGACUGGAACUU
rnacentral:lncRNA from 1 species